rnacentral:rRNA from 1 species
GACGAACGCUGGCGGCGUGCUUAACACAUGCAAGUCGAACGGAAAGGCCCUGCUUGCAGGGUACUCGAGUGGCGAACGGGUGAGUAACACGUGGGUGAUCUGCCCUGCACUUCGGGAUAAGCCUGGGAAACUGGGUCUAAUACCGGAUAGGAGCCAAUUUUAGUGUGAUGGUUGGAAAGUUUUUUCGGUGUAGGAUGAGCUCGCGGCCUAUCAGCUUGUUGGUGGGGUAAUGGCCUACCAAGGCGGCGACGGGUAGCCGGCCUGAGAGGGUGGACGGCCACAGUGGGACUGAGAUACGGCCAAGACUCCGACGGGAGGCAGCGGUAGGGAAUAGUGCAAAAUGGGCGUAAGCCUGAUGCAGCGACGCCGCGUGGGGGAGGACGGCCAUCGGGUUGUAAUCGCAUUUCGCUAGGGACGGAGCUUUUUGUGACGGUACCUGGAGAAGAAGCACCGGCUAACUACGUG